AUUGAACGCUGGCGGCAUGCCUUACACAUGCAAGUCGGACGGCAGCACGGGGCAACCUGGUGGCGAGUGGCGAACGGGUGAGUAAUGCAUCGGAACGUACCUUUCAGUGGGGGAUAACGUAGCGAAAGUUAUGCUAAUACCGCAUAUUCUGUGAGCAGGAAAGCAGGGGAUCGCAAGACCUUGCGCUGAUUGAGUGGCCGAUGUCAGAUUAGCUAGUUGGUGAGGUAAAGGCUCACCAAGGCGACGAUCUGUAGCGGGUCUGAGAGGAUGAUCCGCCACACUGAAACUGAGAAACGGGCCAGACUCCUACGGAAGGCAGUAGUGGGGAAUUUUGGACAAGGGGGGCAACCCUGAUCCAGCCAUACCGCGUGAGUGAAGAAGGCGUUCGGGUUGUAAAGCUCUUUCGGCCUGGAAGAAAUCGCACGGGCUAAUACCCGGUGUGGAUGACGGUACCGGAAUAAGAAGCACCGGCUAACUACGUGCCAGCCGCCGCGGUAAGAC
rnacentral:rRNA from 1 species